UUCUUUGGGUUUUUAUUUAUUGAUUUUUGGGGACUUUGGGAAGAAGAGUAUGACAGAGAGCUUUAGAGAGGAGGAAAAGAGGGACAGAGAGCUUGAGAUGGAGCUUAGGGAAGAGGGACAUGGAGGGAGGCAGAUCGGAGGUGAAAGAGCCAAACAGAGAGGGAAAGCUCUGCCCGAGAGGAAUCAGAGUAGAGAGAAAGAACGUGAGCUCUGCCCGGAGGGCUUGGGUUUAUGGAAGAGGAAGAAGAAAGGAAGAACCAGGAGGGAGAACAGAGAGAGGAAGAGUGAGAAAGAGACAGAGGGUGUGACGACGAGCUCGGAAGGGCAAUGACUCGAGGGAGAACUGGGGAGACUAAUUAAAGGAGAAUCGAGAGUGACGAAUGGGACAGAGCAAGCGAAGGUCCGGCGGAUGGAAGUGGGAGAGCAUCGAAUAGGAAAAGCUUAGCUUACAUUGAACUAGGUUAUGGGCUAUGUUAGGAGCUAAGGAGACCGGUCUACACAACCCGAGGCUCUUCUCGUUGAAUUAAUUUUUGGGAGCACAAUGAGUUAGUGGUGCUAAUAGUGCGAGACUUUUGACGUCGGGGAUCAGCUUGAAGAAUUUUGCAGCUAGAUCUACUCAGCAUAUAGGUAGUAAGUUUAUGUAGAAUCCUAAAAAUACUUCGCGAUCGGAAAACUUUUGUUUAGUUUGUCUAUGGGUGUUGUGAGGAUUAUGUUAGAUGUUUUUGAGAUUGAUAGUGAAACCGUAGAAAUUGGGAGAAAGAAAAUCGUAUGGGGAUCACCCGCAGACUUCACUUUAUAUACUUUAAGGAGUUAUUUACACAAA